rnacentral:rRNA from 1 species
UGGUGGCGAGUGGCGAACGGGUGAGUAAUGCAUCGGAACGUGCCAUUGAGUGGGGGAUAACGUAGCGAAAGUUGCGCUAAUACCGCAUAUUCUGUGAGCAGGAAAGCAGGGGACCGCAAGGCCUUGCGCUCUCUGAGCGGCCGAUGUCAGAUUAGCUAUUGGUGAGGUAAAGGCUUACCAAGGCGACGAUCUGUAGCGGGUCUGAGAGGAUGAUCCGCCACACUGGAACUGAGACACGGUCCAGACUCCUACGGGAGGCAGCAGUGGGGAAUUUUGGACAAUGGGGGCAACCCUGAUCCAGCCAUGCCGCGUGAGUGAAGAAGGCCUUCGGGUUGUAAAGCUCUUUCGGCCGGGAAGAAAUCGCAUGGGCCAAUACCCUGUGUGGAUGACGGUACCGGAAUAAGAAGCACCGGCUAACUACGUGCCAGCAGCCGCGGUAAUACGUAGGGUGCGAGCGUUAAUCGAAAUUACUGGGCGUAAAGCGUGCGCAGGCGGUUUUGUAAGACAGGCGUGAAAUCCCCGGGCUUAACCUGGGAACUGCGUUUGUGACUGCAAGGCUAGAGUACGGCAGAGGGGGGUGGAAUUCCACGUGUAGCAGUGAAAUGCGUAGAGAUGUGGAGGAACACCAAUGGCGAAGGCAGCCCCCUGGGUCGAUACUGACGCUCAUGCACGAAAGCGUGGGUAGCAAACAGGAUUAGAUACCCUGGUAGUCCACGCCCUAAACUAUGUCAACUAGGUGUUGGGUGGGUAAAACCAUUUAGUACCGUAGCUAACGCGUGAAGUUGACCGCCUGGGGAGUACGGCCGCAAGGUAAAAACUCAAAGGAAUUGACGGGGACCCGCACAAGCGGUGGAUGAUGUGGAUUAAUUCGAUGCAACGCGAAAAACCUUACCUACCCUUGACAUGCCAGGAACUUGCCAGAGAUGGCUUGGUGCCCGAAAGGGAGCCUGGACACAGGUGCUGCAUGGCUGUCGUCAGCUCGUGUCGUGAGAUGUUGGGUUAAGUCCCGCAACGAGCGCAACCCUUGUCGUUAAUUGCCAUCAUUUAGUUGGGCACUUUAACGAGACUGCCGGUGACAAACCGGAGGAAGGUGGGGAUGACGUCAAGUCCUCAUGGCCCUUAUGGGUAGGGCUUCACACGUCAUACAAUGGUCGGUACAAAGGGUUGCCAAGCCGCGAGGCGGAGCCAAUCCCAGAAAGCCGAUCGUAGUCCGGAUUGCAGGCUGCAACUCGCCUGCAUGAAGUCGGAAUCGCUAGUAAUCGUGGAUCAGCAUGCCACGGUGAAUACGUUCCCGGGUCUUGUACACACCGCCCGUCACACCAUGGGAGCGGGUUCCGCCAGAAGUAGGUAGCCUAACCGCAAGGGGGGCGCUUACCACGGCGGGGUUCGUGACUG